GUUCGGAAUCACUGGGCUUAAAGAGCACGUAGGCGGUUUGCCAAGCAUUUGGUGAAAUCCCUCAGCUCAACUGAGGAAUUGCCAGAUGAACUGGUUGACUUGAGCUGCACAGGGGCGACUGGAACUCUAGGUGGAGCGGUGAAAUGCGUAGAUAUCUAGAGGAACGCCAGUGGUGAAAACGGGUCGCUGGGUGCAUGCUGACGCUGAGGUGCGAAAGCGUGGGGAGCGAACGGGAUUAGAUACCCCGGUAGUCCACGCCGUAAACGAUGGGCACUAGGUUCGGGUAAGUUUGACCUUUUCCGGGCCGAAGCAAAAGUGAUAAGUGCCCCGCCUGGGGAGUACGGUCGCAAGGCUAAAACUCAAAGGAAUUGACGGGGGCUCACACAAGCGGUGGAGCACGUGGCUCAAUUCGAGGCAACGCGAAGAACCUUAUCCUGGGUUUGACAUGGUUGGAUGCCCUUGGUGAAAGCCAAGUAAGCUGCCUUCGGGUGAAACUUCCACAGGUGCUGCAUGGCUGUCGUCAGCUCGUGCUGUGAAGUGUUGGGUUAAGUCCUAUAACGAGCGAAACCCCUGUCUUUAGUUACCAUCGGGUCAUGCCGGGGACUCUAGAGAGACUGCCGGUGUUAAACCGGAGGAAGGUGGGGAUGACGUCAAGUCCUCAUGGCCUUUAUGCCCAGGGCUGCACACGUGCUACAAUGGCUGGUACAAACCGACGCAAGACCGCGAGGUGGAGCAAAUCGGAAAAAGCCAGCCCCAGUUCGGAUUGCAGGCUGCAAUUCGCCUGCAUGAAGUUGGAAUCGCUAGUAAUCGCAGAUCAGCUAUGCUGCGGUGAAUAUGUUCCUGAGCCUUGUACACACCGCCCGUCAAGUCAUGGAAGCCGGGAGUACCUGAAGUCCCGAUAAUUCGAUCGGGCCGACGGUAAGCUUGGUGACUGGGACUAAGUCGUAACAAGGUA
rnacentral:rRNA from 1 species